CCAGGUCAGGACACGGUAAGGAUUGACGGACUGAAGGCUCUUUCUCGAUUCCGUGGAAAGUGGUGCAUGGCCGUUUUUGGUUGGUGGAUCGAUCCGUCUGGUUAAUUCCGUUAACGAACGAGACCUCGGCACUCCGAAUAGCGCGGCGGACGUCGCGGCCUCCGGGCCGUCUUCCGCACGAGCUUCUUAGAGGGACCGUCCCCCGCCGGGGAAGGAGGUGCGAGGCAACGACAGGUCUGUGAUGCCCUUAGAUGUUCUGGGCCGCACGCGCAUUACACUGACGCGUCCAACGGGUGACUCCCGACCCGAAGGGGCCGGGGAAUCCGCAAGGCGCGUCGUGAUGGGGAUUGAACGUUGCAAUUGUUGUUCACGAACGAGGAAUUCCUAGUAGGCGCGGGUCAUCAACCCGCGCCGAUUACGUCCCUGCCCUUUGUACAC
rnacentral:rRNA from 1 species